CGGGCGGCGGGCGGAGGGCGCCGGGCGAGCCCCGCGGAGGAGCAGAGUCAUUUUGUCCUGGCCUGCAGCUCCCUGCCUACCCUGACAGAAGUCUGCUUUCCUGCUCUGAUUUCUUCACUCAAAGUGUAGCUUCUCUUGGAAAGUGGAAUUGUGCUGCAGGGAGGGGACAAGGUUUUGGCAGGGCAAGGAGAACACCCAGGUAGGUGAAUGAAUUAAAUUCAUGGCUUUGGCCACUGGAGCACUGGGCUGGGUUUUUUCAGCAGUUAUUGUAAGGAGAAAAGAAACCAAACCAAACCAAAUGUGUGAGAGGGCUGGGACACUUUCUACUUCUCAGGCUCUUGUCUGCAGUUGCAUGUGCCAGCUGGGACCUACAUCCCUCAUCUCUUGCUGCUCAAGCUGAGAGUGUGAUGCAGUGCUUUGGGAAAAGCACUGUGCUUCCCUUCUGGAGCUCAUCCAGCCCCCAAAGCAGGUGGAAGAGGCUAAGGGAUGAGUGAUGCAGCAAUGUCCCUGGUUAGCCCUCCCUGCAAUCCCAUCUGCAGAUAAAACUGCAUCCAGAAGUGGUCAUGCUGAGGGGGUGUCCCAGAUGGGACCACAUGCACCACAACAUGCUACAUUCUGCCUGAGCCAGCCCCAAAAAGCUCUGCUACAGUGAGGAAGGAGGAAGUGAAGGCUGCAGCCUCUUGGUAUGUACUUAUAAACCCUGGGAAGCACUGAUGGAUGGGCCUUGCUUGGCCUGGCAGCUGUAAAUCCCCUGCUCUGCUGGUGAUGGCAGUGCCCCUGCUCUGGCAUGGGUGACUGGCAGGGCUGGGGGGAUGUCCCUGUCUCUGCUGCUUUUGGGGGCAUCUUUGCUGCUCUGAACUACUCCCCUCCCAGGACCAUAUGGGCCACUAAGAUGAUUAAGGGAUUGGAGCAGCUGUCCUGAGAGCUGGAAAAAUGAAUGCUUGAGAAGAGGGUUCUUGUCCAUGCCUGGUUGGGGGAUAAAGAAUCACACAACAGUAAUGUUGGAAGGAACCACUAUGGGUCAUCUGGUCCAGCCUCCCUGCUCAAGGGGUCAUCCUAGAGGGCAUUGGACAGAAUUGUGUCCAGAUGGUUUUUUAAUACCUCCAGUGAGGGAGACUCCACACCCUCUCUGGGCAACCUGUUCCUUUGUGUGGUCACCCACACAGUGAAGUUUUUCUUCCUCAUUUUCAUGUGGAACUUCCCGUGCAUUAGUUUCUGCCCAUUGCCUCUUGUCCUGUUGCUGGGCAUCACUAAGCAGAGCCUGAUCCAUCCUCUGGCACCCUCCCUGCAGAUACUGACAGACACUGAUGAGGUCCCCUCUCAGUCGUAACUUCUCGAGGCUGAACAGCUCCAGCUCCCUCAGUCUUUCAUUGUAAGAGAGAUGUUCCAAUUCCUUAAUCAUCUUUGUAUCCCUCUGUUGGAUCUGCUCCAAGAACUCCAUGUUUCUCUUGUAUGGAGGAGCCCAGAACUGGACACAGCAUUCGAGAUAUGGCCUCAGAUAUGGAGGGGCAGGAUCUUGUCCUGCUGCCAAUGCUCUUUCUAGUGCAUCCCAGGAUACCAGUGGCCUUCUUGGUUCCCAGGGCACACUGCUGCCUAAGGGACAGCUUCUUGUCCACUGAGACUCCCUGGUCCUUCUCUGCAGAGCUGCUUCCCAGCAGGUUGGCCUCCAUCAGGUACUGGUGCAUGGAGUUAUUCUUGCCCAGGUGGAACAUCAUGGCGGGUGUUCAGGGAUUUAAACCAGCAGAAGGUGAUGUGCAGAGUUGAGAAGAGGAAGGCAAAUGAUACAAGCUUAAAAAAAUUGCAAGUGAAAGCACAGAGACACAUCACACACAGAGGGGGAGCAGUUCUGGGGGCCCCCAGCCCCACAAUGACACCAUGCAGGAUAUAGGGGCAAAAGCCCCAGCAGCCCUGCUUCAUGGUGCAGGCAGAAAUAUCCAGGAUCCCUCCUCUCUGCCCAGCCCAUUCGGGAGGUGGCACAGGACCCAGCAAUCUGCCAUGCACUUUGUAGCCUGAUGCCACCUCUUCCUUGGUGGGGCAGCCACAUGCUGCCAAGGCCACUGAACUCAGGAAAUUUAAUAAAAGCAGUGAGAACCAAUCAUGCUGGGAGUGUCAGGGAGGUGGCCCCACCAUGCUGUCACAGCCACCAAGAGGGCAGAGUUCCUGGGAGAGCCAGAGGAAGCAGUGCUUCCUUCCCAGCAAGCUUCUGAAAAUCCAGUAGCUUGUUGGUGCUGAGGAGCUGCACAGGAGGGGCACAAAAACCUCCAAAAACCUCCAGGCUCAGGGAAUGUGGUGAGGGACAAGUAGCAAGGGGGGACACAGAGGGCAGCCUCCCUCCCAGCCCGGUGGUGUGUCCCUCACACAGCGAGGUGGGGACAGCGGAUAUCCUGGGACAAGGCACAGCCAGAUAGGCAGAGCAGCUCACAGGGUGGUUUAGCAUUCCCUGCCACACCCAUCCGGUGUGGGAACAUUUAGGAACAUGGCCUGGCCACCACAGCUGCUGUAAUCUGCUUCCAGUGCCGGACAUGGGUCCUUAGUGGUGCAAACUGGAAGUCAGGGCCUAGAUAACCAACAGCAGCUGGAGAUGGGGAACAUGUGGAUUUACACACACAUACACACACACACACACAAACACAGGAAGGGCAGUUUCCAUUUCCAGGGCAGCCUUGGUUUUGGUGGCCCCCAUCCUGUGUGGCCACCUCCUAUUACCUUGGGUGAUGCAUCCCAUGCUGAGCAGCCAAAUUUUGGCAACAUUUGGCUGAGUUGCAGGGCCAGAAAUCACAAUUAUUUUCCAUGACAUCCCCUGUCACCCUCCAGGCAGCUAUGCUGACACCCAACUUGCCUUGCCCCAGGCGCUGGGACCAAAAAAAACACCCUUACAGUGACACCGACACUCUUUAAAGGUUUUUAUUUCUGCUUUAAAAUCAAAAUUAGUCAUUCUCUGUAAUUACAUUAUAUAUAGAUUUAUAGAGACAAUAUAGAAAAGAAUUUUUUGCUUUUGUUUUUCUGCAAAAAUCUGUAAAUAAAAAAUAAAAUAAAACAAAACAAACAAAAAAAAAA